GUAAAAGUAGCUCAAUUGGGAGAGCGAAUCAUUGAAACUGCUAAGGUGGUUAGUUCAAUUCUGGCUUUGACA
rnacentral:tRNA from 1 species